ensembl:lncRNA
AUGUCCCUGUCCCAUCCCCGUGUCCCUGUCCCAUGUCCCUGUCCCAUGUCCCAUCCCUGUGUUCCUUCCCCGUGUCCCUGUCCCCGUGUCCCUGUCCCAUCCCUGGGUCCCUGUCCUCAUGUGACUGUCCGUGUGUCCUUCCCUAUGUCCCUGUCCCAUCCCUGUGUGCCUGUCCCUGGGUCCCAUCCCCGUGUCCCAUCCCUGUGUCCCCAUGUCCCCGUGGCCCUGUCCCUCUGUCCUUCCCUAUGUCCCUGUCCCAUUCUCGUGUCCCUGUGUGCCUGUCACAUUGUGGUUUCUUGUCCCAUGCCUGUGUCCCUGUCCCUUCCCCCUGUCCCUGUCCCCAUGUUCUUGUCCUAUCCCCGUGUCCUUAUCCCAUCCCUGGGUCCCUGUCCCUGUGUCCUUCCCUGUCCCUGUGUCCCUGUCCCUGUGUCCCCAUGUCCCUGUGUCUGUCCCUGUGUCCCUGGGGGGGGGGGGGGGGGGGGGGGGGGGGGGGGGGGGGGGGGGGGGGGGGGGGGGGGGGGGGGGGGGGGGGGGGGGGGGGGGUGUCCUUCCCUAUGUCCCUGUCCCAUUCUCGUGUCCCUGUGCCUGUCACAUUGUGGUUUCUUGUCCCAUGCCUGUGUCCCUGUCCCUUCCCCCUGUCCCUGUCCCCAUGUUCUUGUCCUAUCCCCGUGUCCUUUCCCUGUCCCUGUAUCCCUGUCCCUGUGUCCUUCCCUGUCCCUGUGUCCUUCCCUGUCCCUGUAUCCCUGUCCCUGUGUCCUUCCCUGUCCCUGUGUCCUUCCCUGUCCCUGUAUCCCUGUCCCUGUGUCCUUCCCUGUCCCUGUGUCCUUCCCUGUCCCUGUAUCCCUGUCCCUGUGUCCUUCCCUGUCCCUGUGUCCUUCCCUGUCCCUGUAUCCCUGUCCCUGUGUCCUUCCCUGUCCCUGUGUCCCUGUCCCUGUGUCCCCGUGUCCCUGUGUCCCCAUGUCCCUGUGUUGUUCCCCCGGGUCCCUGUCCCUGUGUCCUUCCCUGUCCCUGUAUCCCUGUCCCUGUGUCCUUCCCUGUCCCUGUGUCCCUGUCCCUGUGUCCCCGUGUCCCUGUGUCCCCGUGCCCCUGUGUCUGUGUCCCUGUCCCAUCCCCAUGUCCCUGUCCUAUCCCUGUAUCCCUGUCCCUGUGUCCCUGUCCUAUCCCUGUGUCCCCAUGUCCCUCUGUCCCUGUCCGGACACACUCCCUGCCUGUCCCUGUCCCUGUCCCUAUCCCUGUCCCUGUCCGGACACACUCCCUGCCUGUCCCUGUCCCUGUCCCUAUCCCUGGGUCCCUGGCCCUUCCGUGUGUCCUUGUCCCUGUCCCUGUCCCUAUCCCUGGGUCCCUGGCCCUUCCCUGUGUCCUUGUCCCUGUCCCUGUCCCUAUCCCUGGGUCCCUGGCCCUUCCCUGUGUCCUUGUCCCUGUCCCUGUCCCUAUCCCUGGGUCCCUGGCCCUUCCCUGGGUCCUUGUCCCUGUCCUUGUCCCUGUCCCUGUCCAGACACGUUCCCUGCCUGUCCCUGCCAUCAGCACUCCCAGGUUUUCCCUGAAGGCUGA